rnacentral:rRNA from 1 species
AACGAACGCUGGCGGCGCGCCUAAUACAUGCAAGUCGAGCGAGAAGACGUAGCAAUACGUUUGUAAAGCGGCGAACGGGUGAGGAAUACAUGGGUAACCUACCCUCGAGUGGGGAAUAACUAGCCGAAAGGUUAGCUAAUACCGCGUACGCUCCCUGGACUUCGGUUCAGGGAGGAAAGCGAUACCGUGGGUAUCGCGCUCUUGGAUGGGCUCAUGUCCUAUCAGCUUGUUGGUGAGGUAACGGCUCACCAAGGCUUCGACGGGUAGCUGGUCUGAGAGGACGAUCAGCCACACUGGCACUGCGACACGGGCCAGACUCCUACGGGAGGCAGCAGUAAGGAAUAUUGCGCAAUGGGCGAAAGCCUGACGCAGCGACGCCGCGUGGGGGAUGAAGGUCUUCGGA